ACGCUGGCGGCGUGCCUAAUACAUGCAAGUCGAGCGGACAGAUGGGAGCUUGCUCCCUGAUGUUAGCGGCGGACGGGUGAGUAACACGUGGGUAACCUGCCUGUAAGACUGGGAUAACUCCGGGAAACCGGGGCUAAUACCGGAUGGUUGUUUGAACCGCAUGGUUCAAACAUAAAAGGUGGCUUCGGCUACCACUUACAGAUGGACCCGCGGCGCAUUAGCUAGUUGGUGAGGUAACGGCUCACCAAGGCAACGAUGCGUAGCCGACCUGAGAGGGUGAUCGGCCACACUGGGACUGAGACACGGCCCAAACUCCUACGGGAGGCAGCAGUAGGGAAUCUUCCGCAAUGGACGAAAGUCUGACGGAGCAACGCCGCGUGAGUGAUGAAGGUUUUCGGAUCGUAAAGCUCUGUUGUUAGGGAAGAACAAGUGCCGUUCAAAUAGGGCGGCACCUUGACGGUACCUAACCAGAAAGCCACGGCUAACUACGUGCCAGCAGCCGCGGUAAUACGUAGGUGGCAAGCGUUGUCCGGAAUUAUUGGGCGUAAAGGGCUCGCAGGCGGUUUCUUAAGUCUGAUGUGAAAGCCCCCGGCUCAACCGGGGAGGGUCAUUGGAAACUGGGGAACUUGAGUGCAGAAGAGGAGAGUGGAAUUCCACGUGUAGCGGUGAAAUGCGUAGAGAUGUGGAGGAACACCAGUGGCGAAGGCGACUCUCUGGUCUGUAACUGACGCUGAGGAGCGAAAGCGUGGGGAGCGAACAGGAUUAGAUACCCUGGUAGUCCACGCCGUAAACGAUGAGUGCUAAGUGUUAGGGGGUUUCCGCCCCUUAGUGCUGCAGCUAACGCAUUAAGCACUCCGCCUGGGGAGUACGGUCGCAAGACUGAAACUCAAAGGAAUUGACGGGGGCCCGCACAAGCGGUGGAGCAUGUGGUUUAAUUCGAAGCAACGCGAAGAACCUUACCAGGUCUUGACAUCCUCUGACAAUCCUAGAGAUAGGACGUCCCCUUCGGGGGCAGAGUGACAGGUGGUGCAUGGUUGUCGUCAGCUCGUGUCGUGAGAUGUUGGGUUAAGUCCCGCAACGAGCGCAACCCUUGAUCUUAGUUGCCAGCAUUCAGUUGGGCACUCUAAGGUGACUGCCGGUGACAAACCGGAGGAAGGUGGGGAUGACGUCAAAUCAUCAUGCCCCUUAUGACCUGGGCUACACACGUGCUACAAUGGACAGAACAAAGGGCAGCGAAACCGCGAGGUUAAGCCAAUCCCACAAAUCUGUUCUCAGUUCGGAUCGCAGUCUGCAACUCGACUGCGUGAAGCUGGAAUCGCUAGUAAUCGCGGAUCAGCAUGCCGCGGUGAAUACGUUCCCGGGCCUUGUACACACCGCCCGUCACACCACGAGAGUUUGUAACACCCGAAGUCGGUGAGGUAACCUUUUAGGAGCCAGCCGCCGAAGGUGGGACAGAUGAUUGGG
rnacentral:rRNA from 1 species